GCCCACAUAGUAUAGUGGUUAGUACUUCUCGUUGUGGCCGAGAUGACGCAGGUUCGAUUCCUGCUGUGGGCACCA
rnacentral:tRNA from 1 species